AAUCCAUAGGUUAAUGAGGCGAACCGGGGGAACUGAAACAUCUAAGUACCCCGAGGAAAAGAAAUCAACCGAGAUUCCCCCAGUAGCGGCGAGCGAACGGGGAGGAGCCCAGAGCCUGAAUCAGCAUGUGUGUUAGUGGAAGCGUCUGGAAAGGCGCGCGAUACAGGGUGACAGCCCCGUACACAAAAGCGCAUGUGCUGUGAGCUCGAUGAGUAGGGCGGGACACGUGGUAUCCUGUCUGAAUAUGGGGGGACCAUCCUCCAAGGCUAAAUACUCCUGACUGACCGAUAGUGAACCAGUACCGUGAGGGAAAGGCGAAAAGAACCCCGGCGAGGGGAGUGAAAAAGAACCUGAAACCGUGUACGUACAAGCAGUGGGAGCCCCACCACCAAAGCAUUUGCUGUACCGCGUUGACGGAGCGAAGCGA
rnacentral:rRNA from 2 species